rnacentral:rRNA from 1 species
UACGGAGGGGGCUAGCGUUGUUCGGAAUUACUGGGCGUAAAGGGCGCGUAGGCGGCCACCGCAAGUCAGUUGUGAAAUCUCCGGGCUUAACCCGGAAAGGUCAACUGAUACUGCGGGGCUAGAGUGCAGAAGGGGCAACUGGAAUUCUCGGUGUAGCGGUGAAAUGCGUAGAUAUCGAGAGGAACACCUGCGGCGAAGGCGGGUUGCUGGGCUGACACUGACGCUGAGGCGCGAAAGCUAGGGGAGCGAACGGG